rnacentral:rRNA from 1 species
GGCUUAUUGAUAGAAGAUUUUAAGUCUAUCCUGCCCCCUGAUAAGAGUUAAAUGGCCGCAGUAUUUUGACUGUGCUAAGGUAGCAUAAUAAUUAGUUUCUUAAUUGGAAGCUGGUAUGAAUGGUAUGAUGAGAAAAUUACUGUCUCUAUUAAAAAGUUAAAAUUUUAUUUUUAAGUUAAAAAGCUUAAAUAUUAUUAAAAGACGAGAAGACCCUAUAGAAUUUUAUUUAAAUUUAUUUUUAUUAAUAAAGUAUUUAAAAUUGAAAAAUAAGUUUAUAUUUAGUUGGGGUGAUUAGAAAAAUUAAGUAUCUUUUUUUUAUAAUAACAUUGAUUUAUGGUUGUAUGAUUCAUAUUAAUGAUUUAAGAAUAAAUUACCUUAGGGAUAACAGCGUAAUUUUUUUUUAGAGUUCUAAUCAAAAAAAAAGAUUGCGACCUCGAUGUUGGAUUAAAAU